rfam:Mesocricetus auratus contig038812, whole genome shotgun sequence.
AUACUUCCCUGGCAGGAAAAUCACUAAGGUGGUUUUCCCAGGGCGAGACUUAUCCAUUGCACUCCGGAUGUGCCAACCCCUGCGAUUUCCCCAAAUGCGGGAACGAAUGAGGGAAACCCCACUGCAUAAUUCGUGAUAGUGAGGGACUGAGUUCUCACUCUCCUCUA